rnacentral:rRNA from 1 species
GUGUCAGCAGCCGCGGUAAUACAGAGGGCGCGAGCGUUGUCCGGAAUCACUGGGCGUAAAGGGCGCGUAGGUGGCCACCAUAAGGCCGCGGUGAAAGUUCGGGGCUCAACCCCGGAUCGGCCGCGGCGACUGUGGGGCUCGGGUACUGUAGAGGCAGAUGGAAUUCCGGGUGUAGCGGUGGAAUGCGUAGAGAUCCGGAAGAACACCAGUGGCGAAGGCGGUCUGCUGGGCAGUGGACUCUUGGAGUCCCUUUGACCGACACUGAGGCGCGACAGCGUGGGGAGCAAACAGGAUUAGAUACCCUGGUAGUCC